rnacentral:rRNA from 1 species
UAGCAUAUCACUGACGCAGGAGAAGAAACUAACCAGGAUUUCCCUAGUAACGGCGAGCGAACCGGAAAGAGCCCAGCUUGAAAAUCGUGGCGCCCCGGCGCCUCGAAUUGUAGUCUGGAGAAGGUCCCUCUGCGGCGCGCCGGACCCAAGUUCCCUGGAAAGGGACGCCAUCGAGGGUGAGAGCCCCGCUGAUUCCGGAGUGCGCUGCUCCACGAGGACCUGUCUGCGAGUCGGGCUGUUUGGGAAUGCAGCCCUAAGCGGGUGGUAAAUUCCAUCCAAGGCUAAAUAUUGGCAAGAGACCGAUAGCGAACAAGUACCGCGAGGGAAAGAUGAAAAGGACUUUGAAAAGAGAGUUAAAAAGUGCUUGAAAUUGCUGGGAGGGAAGCGAAUGGAAGCUGCGGGUGCGCCCCGGUUGGAUGUGGAACGGCUGUCAAAGGCUGGUCCGCCGCUCAACGCGGGGCGCUGGUCAGCGUGGGCCAUCGCGGCGGGACAAGAGCGGGGAUUCGCUUCCCGCCGAUGCCGCUGCGGUGGCCGAGGAACGAAGCGCGCGCUCUUCAUGGGCGUGGGACUUGUCCCAACUGCGCGCUCGGGACGCUGGCGUAUUGAGCUCUUCAUCCGACCCGUCUUGAAACACGGACCAAGGAGUCUAACAUGUAUGCGAGCCGGUGGGCGGCAAACCCAUUGAGGCGCAAGUAACCUGACAGGUGGGACCCCGACCGCAAGGGAGGGAGCACCAUCGACCGACCGUGAUCUUCUGUGA